GCGGGGGUUGCCAAGCCAGGUCAAAGGUUUCACGACCGACUGAAGGCGCCAGCUUGAGGGGCUGGUCCCGUAGGGGUUCGCGGGUUCAAAUCCCGUCCCCCGCACCA
rnacentral:tRNA from 1 species